rnacentral:lncRNA from 1 species
AGUGAAAAUGCUAAACCCAAUACUAGAGCAAACAAAUAUCUAGCACAGUUAAAAUUAUUAAUAUGCAUCACUAAAUUAAAAACAUGAAACCCAACUCAACAAACUAUGUGAAAUUAAAUUAAAGCACAAGAAAAUAAAAAGACAAAUUUAUCUAACUACUCACAUGACCACAUGUGUUUCUAGCAAAGGAAUUUAAAAUGAAAUUGCUUUUCUUUCUCAAAAAUCAUCAUGGCCGUGACCUUGUGCCUCCAGCCAAAACGUUGCCACCUCCAGCUACCAUCCAUCAGCGCCUAAUCUACCAUUCCUUCCUUUGCUAUCAACAACUUUCUUCUUUUUUUUUUAUUAAAAGAAAACCAUACGUGGCAGCCAAUUUCCUAUUCCCACAAUGCAAAACCCUAAGUGGCAGUUGGUCAUGAAGCUAAAAAAAAAAAAAAAAACACACACACUAAACCAAAGGAAAAAGUAAAUAGCAAAUCAGCACACAUAUUCAAAAGCUAAAAUCCCUAAAACCAAAAUCUAUCCCCUGCAACAAAGGUGUGUCGGCAGCUCUCAAAAAGUGGCAGCCAGAAAAGUGUGCGCCUCUCCUUGUCGUGACACAACCUUUCAUUAUCUAAUCUUCAAUGGAAUCAAAGUGCUGAAUAAAACGUUCCAGCACACCCUCCAAAUUACGUUCCAGCCCAAGCAUAACGGAGUGUGUCGGCAACUGUAGCUCACCCAAAACCAACGUUCCAGCUCCUUCCAUCAUCAAAAUGAAUGCAACCCCCUUCCUUUAAAACGUUGCAGAUCAAAAAAAAUGUGUAGCAGCUGCUUCAAUCCACCAUUGCCGAGAAUAUAUUGUCCUCCUCUCUUUUUUUUUAAAAAAACGUUGCAGCCUAAAAGCCUUUAACAAGUGACGGCUGUAACCUUUUUCCCUCGGACCAAGUGUGUCAAAAAUAGGGUGGGGUCCACCCUCUUUGCAAAACCCUAGGUGUCAUGUCAUGUUCUCAUUUGGGCUCAAACUAUUUUGCCAAAAAUUGGCCCAAUGUUUACAAGUUUAAUUAAAAACUAUCUAGACUACUAAGUUUCAAAGUAAUUAAAUUUGAAAUAUCUAUAUGAAGAGUCUUGAUUUUAUUUUGUCUCAUUCCCAAUGCUCCAAAUUGUAUUUCCAAAAUUUUCCCUGAAAAUAAUAAUGCAAAUAAUUAGCUCAGAAAAUUCAAAUUAAUUAAAAUUAAAAUUUCCAGUCAAAUUAAGCAUAAUUAGGAAAAAUGGGAAAAUAUCGGACAAUUAAGCACAAUUCUCUGAUUAAUUUAAGCACAAUAAACUAGGUGAAGUCAAGAAAAUAUUGACUCAUCAAACCCUUGCACCAAUUUUUUUAUUUAUCCAGACUUCAUUCAAUGAUAAUUAAUAUAUAUAAAAAUAUAUAUAUAUAUAUAUAUAUAUAUAUAAAUCUCUAAAAAUGCUCACAAUUCUAUAAUUCAAUAAACAUUUCUAUUAUAUCUAUGAAUUUCGUAUUCUCAUUUAAGCACUCCACCAAUUACUACUUGCCACACUAAUAUAUACAUAUAUAAUCCAACCAGAAAAUGUACUUAACCACCAUAAAUUUCCAGUCCAUAUACUUAUUAAUAACUAAUACCCCAUAAAAAUACUAUAUCAUCAUAUUAUAAUUCAGUUACUUAGUGGCAUACCUUUGUGACAUUUCUAUACUUUCAGAGAACAAAAUUAAUUCAAACUGUUUUAGAAAUCCUCUCCAUUAGGACUCCCCAAUUGAAUGUUUUUAACCCUCUUUUCCCAUACGACUCCUACUACUUUUAGUUACCCCUUUUAUAGUUAGUCCUCUCUUAUUGAACAACAUCAGAUUUUUAUUAACAGUAUGUCGCAAUCGGAAAAUCGCGACGGGACGACGACGAUCCAAAAAAUGAAAACGAGUUUAGAAAAAAAAAGUUUGGAGUCGCCACCAUAGUUUAUUCUGGAAAACUACGGGAAAACCAUAAAAGGACAAGGCAAGGUCUACAAUACCAAAUUCUGGUUUCGGAAGUCGGUUACGUGUGGGGAAGGUGUUAGCACCCCCACAACGCCUGCCCUAAGGCAGUACCUUUUUAACUAAAUACGCGAAUUUGAUGUGGUUUGCAAAAUGUUUAAUUUCUCCUAAAAAUAAAAAAACAAAAUAUUUUUUUUGUGUUUUUUGUGUCCGACAAGGAUUGACCUUGCUCCUACGUAUUCUCAGUUGGACUGAGAAAUCAGGGUUACAUAGUUCUUUAAUCGUUUGGAAAAUUUGUUUGAGAAAUUUGUUUGAGAAAGGAUGUUUUGGUAUUUUUGUAAUUUUUAUGUAAGAAAAAAAAAAGGUCUUCUAGCACAAGGACGAUGCGUGCGAUCACACAUGCGCUAGAAUCCUUAAAAUAUAUUUUUAAUUUUUAUUUAUAGAAAAGAAGGGGUUUUCUAGCACAAGGACGAUGCGUGCGAUCACACAUGNAAAGAAGGGGUUUUCUAGCACAAGGACGAUGCGUGCGAUCACACAUGCGCUAGACCCCUUAAAAUAUAUUUUUAAUUUUUAUUUAUAGAAAAGAAAGAGUUUUCUAGCACAAGGACGAUGCGUGCGAUCACACAUGUGCUAGACUCCUUAAAAUAUAUUUUUAGUAUUUUUAUUUAUAGAAAAGAAAGGGUUUUGUAGCACAAGGACGAUGUGUGCGAUCACACAUGUGCUAGACCCCUUAAAAUAUAUUUUUGGUAUUUUUAUUUAUAGAAAAGAAAGGGUUUUCUAGCACAAGGACGAUGCAUGCGAUCACACAUGUGCUAGACCCCUUAAAAUAUAUUUUUGAUGUUUAUUUAUAAAAGUAUAUUUAAAAAGGUAGAUAAAUAUUUAAAAUGGAAGCAAAAGAAAAAAAAGAAAAAUAAAAGAUAGAUAAAUAAAUAAUGAAAAUAAAAUAAAAAGUAAAAGAUAAAAUAGAUAAAAAUAAACUAAUAAGUAAAAAGAAAGGGUGUGGUGGUGCUAAAAUAAGAGAAGGGGUAUUCAAUCCCAAUUUAGUUCUAAAAACAGAUUGAGCCUAAGCCCAAGUAGAAAAAAGGUGGUAAAAAUGAAAAAUAGGGGUGUACAAACUAAAUUAUCUCUAAAGGCAGAUUGGGCCUAAGCCCAAUUGAAAAGGGUGUGACUUAGCGAACAUGGGGUGCAGAAGGGAUUCCCUUUUUUUAAUCAACAGAUGGGCUCAAGCCCAUUGCACAUGCGGUGCCAGAUAGUAGAAACUGGGGUGGCGAGAGAAGGUUUUUUGUUUGGUUUUAUUAUUAUUAUUUUGUUGGUUGGGCUUGACACCCAGGCCCAUGCUCUCUUGACCUAGAAUCGUAAGAGGGGUCAAGCCUCACUACCUCACUCUGCACUCUCAGACUCAAACACCAGAGACUCAAGGUUUCGCGUCUCUCUCUCGAAGACAACCGAACCCUCAAGCUUUCUCUCUCUCACAAGGGCGCGCCACCACCCUCAGCCAGAACCGGCCACCAGGCCAAUACUUGCACCAGUCUCGACCUCGCUGGUGGCAAUAGGUGUCACCGGAACCAUGGUUGGCCACCGCGUCCUCUUUGCGUCUCUCUCUCAAUCGCAACCGCCCAGGAUUGGGUUCCUUCGCCACCACACGACUCGACCGGCCGCCGUUCCCAUCCGGUCAGCCAUGGCAACGCCGACAUCCUCGCCACCAUCCGGCCAGCCAACGCAGGCCGUGACGACCUCACUCUCUCUCCUUCUGCUCGCGUCGGCCUAGGGUGUGGGGUUUGUCUCCAACCGGCCACCGCCUUAUCCAGUCUCGCCGCCGCUGGCGACGGCAGAUGCCACCAGGAUCCAGGCCAGCGUCACUGCACCGCCACCUUCCUUCUCCUCUUUCUAUUCUCGUGCUCUUGGGGUCAUCUCCUUUUCAUUUCACCGGUCACCACAACUCCAAUUGGUCAGGGCUGCCUUAAAGGUCCAACUUUGAACGAAUUGGCAUGGAAUUUGUGAUUUGAUUUCUGUUUAUUGGUUUGAUGCAGGUGAAAGAUGAUGUUGGGUUUGUUCUAUGGUACUCUGUGUAAGUUUCUGUUUAACUGGGUGCAAUUCCUUCGUUGGUUAUUGGAGAUGAACAGAGGCGUGGAGGUUUAAGCUUCAUUAUCUGGUUUGGCUCCUGGGAUUUUUGGUGUUUGAUGGGUAGACAUAGGCUGUCGCGUUGACAAAGAAUGGUGGAACAAGAAAAGCUGAAGUAAACUUGGAUUUCGGUUUGUUGGGAAGAUGAUGUAUCUGCAGAUGACGGGUUACUGGAAUUUGGGUUGCGCAGGUUUGGGUUAUGCAAAGAGAGUACUGGUCUCUAAUGGUUGGAGGUGGUGAAGCAUGUUCAGUUUGUUGGGAUGAAUGGAAAACAAAAAAACAAACCAUGUACAGAAACAAAUCAUGCAUACUCAAUAUAAUAGCAAGUUCGAUAUGAGCAGUCAAAGCCAGGCAUUACCAAAUCAGAACAGAAGGAGAAACCCCAUUAGGAGUAAAUUGUAAUCGUCUAACAUUCAUAACUUUGUGAGUGAUGAAGUUAAAGAGAACUUACCUUCUACGUUUACACUCUCUUCUCUCAAGUCCUUGUGAUCCUUUUUCUUAUGAUUCAACUCCACUUCUUUUCUUCAGUAGCCUUGGUGUUAGUCUAGAGAAAAAACAUUUUUCUUUGCUUCGUAAGUGUGAGGAGUGGUCAUGAAAAAAAUGGAUACUGUUUUUUUUUAUGAUUCCCAACUGGUGAGAAUGGGUGAUCAAAGUAACUGAGAGCAGGGGCAAUGGUUAGUACCGAGUACUGGUCGUGGCUGCCCAAGUGGACGGUUUCAUCAUGGAGGUUAUUAGAGGAGCCGAAGGGUGGAGAACGUGUCCUUCCUUGCCUGCCAAGACCAAACCGCCUCUGCCAAAUGUACCUCUGCCAAUUUGCAAAACGUUCUCUGCCAAAAUCCAUCCCUACACCUGUCAUGUCCCCCUUUUGUCGUUUACAAAUGUGGCUUCACUCAUUUUUUCUUUUUUUUAAUUAAAUAUAUUUAAACAAGAUAAAAUAUAAAAAGGUAAAACUUAAAAAAUGAAAAUAAAAAAUUAAAAAUUAAAAAAUAUAAAGGGAAAAGCAAAAUGAAAUAAAAAGAGAAUAGGAUGAGAUAAAUAGAAUAAAAACUAAAUCAAAUACUAAAUAGUAAAACAAAAAUUAAACAAAAUAAAACAAAAAUAAAAUAAAAUAAAAAUAAAAUAAAAUAAGACAAAAAUAAAAACUAGUCCUAUUAUUCAGUCAUCCGGACGAAAUUGGGUGUUGACACAGUAUCUCAUGACCAAAGAAGGAAAUUACAAACCAAGUAUACCCUUUAUUCCUAGUCACUAGUACAUAUCAAAUUCGAAAAAGUUACAUCAUAAUUAAUAUAACAACUUUUCUACGGUUCAUUACAUGAUUAAUCAAUUGGAUAAAACCCCCAACCCUUUCUAGAAUCAUUAUUGUUUCAGAUUGAGACCCGAAACCAAACACAAACCAAGUUGUUUCGCUGAAUUGCCUUCGUUAACCUUACUCUCACGUUCGAUCGGGUGCAACCUGCACGUUAGCACUUCGACGCUCAAGUUAGCAAAGUCGCACUAAUCUCAAGAUAAGAGUAAUUAUGUCAAAAGUGAAAAAGUACCUGAUACACGCCUUUAUAUUUAUAGGCAUCUGA